UCAGAUUUUACACUGAACUGCAAGAACUGUCAAACUGCCAGGGGGCCUUAAAAACCAAAUUGCUCAGUUUAAAAUAAAAAAUGCAUUUAACUCCUACAUAUGUGUUACAAUCUGGCUUGCAGAGCGCAGGAUUUUAAUGGUGGAUAUAGGAAUCAAAAUGUUAAUCUGGCAUACGUAAUGUAGCCAUGUUCUUAGCCUGGAAAUGUUUAACUGAACGUUGUACUUUCCAGCAAUUGUGAAGGCAGAACUGUCCAGAACUUGCUUUCUUCAUAAGUUUGGACAAUCAUGGCCAAGGAAGCUGAAACUCAGAAGAACAGAUGAGUUCCUUGAGUUCCCAGCUGUGUGCAUAUCCCCUGAUUUUACACUGAGGAUGGUCCUGAUGAAAUGUGAGCUAGGAAUUGUGAAAAGCUUAAACCAAAAUGACAGUAGCUGACAGUCAUGAAGCAAGCUUCACAGUUGUGAUAGAAGACAACCAAGGACCUUGACUUGGAGCUAGACAGAUAAUUGGAUAAUUAAAAGGCAAUCCAGUAACAACUUGGCAUUUGUGAACAGCCGUCACAGUGGACAGCAUGAAGAAUCCCCUGGCACAGGAAAAACAGAAUGAAAAUCUCAAACUUUUGCACAGUGAAACAAAUGUUAAAAGUGAAAAAUUAUCAACAAUAAAAGAGUGAUGAUUAAAGGCUUAAAUUUGCAGUAGCAGGCUUGGAAAUUUUCCAUUAAAUUUACCCAAACACACUAGUUAAGUAACUAUAUAUAAGUAAAUAUAUUCAGACAGAUGGUUGUUUACCUUUUAAAUAAUUCAGCUAACCUUAAAUGGGUACCUUGAAUUUGAAUCCAGAAAGUAUUCAAAUAUCUGCUAAAAACAUGAAAAAGAGAUGGAGCCCCUGUGCAAGUGGAGGUUGGUGCUCCAAAUCUGAUGUGGUAGUGGUUUUGUCAGUGUGAACUUUACAUCUACUCCAUUAGUUUCCGUAGUGUUCUUCUGUUCAUCACAGGCAUAAUUCAUCUUCUCCACUCAGUAGUGUGGUUACCACUCUCACUGAAGCAGGAGCUGCAGGACCCAUGACACAACAUGUACCUCAGCCUGGCAAACUAGAGUAGGAAAAAAGCAGCAGGAAUGAAAGCCCUUUUAUUUCCUCUCUUCAUCUUGGUAAAUCAGCAUCUGACCAUCCAGAUAUCAUGCAGGAAUUUAUCUACAUUUAAGCAAAAACAUCUACCUGACUUGCAAGGGAUCAGUUUUGUAGACAAAUUGUGUAUGAAUUUUCAUGAGGGGAGCAUCAGUCAUCAGUUUAUAGCCACAAAGGCAAUUGUUAUCGGGUUAAAAGUUCCCAAAU